rnacentral:rRNA from 1 species
UACGUAGGGGCCAAGCGUUGUCCGGAUUUAUUGGGCGUAAAGAGCUCGUAGGCGGUUCGGCAAGUCAGCUGUGAAAUCUCCACGCUCAACGUGGAGGGGUCAGCUGAUACUGCUGUGACUUGAGUCCGGUAGGGGAGUGUGGAAUUCCCGGUGUAGCGGUGAAAUGCGCAGAUAUCAGGAGGAACACCAAUGGCGAAGGCAGCACUCUGGGACGUGACUGACGCUGAGACGCGAAAGCGUGGGGAGCAAACAGG